rnacentral:rRNA from 1 species
AGAGUUUGAUCCUGGCUCAGAACGAACGCUGGCGGCAGGCUUAACACAUGCAAGUCGAGCGCCCCUCCUUCAAGCAAGCUUGAAGGAUUUUAUCCUUGGAAAAGAAGAUCAAGACAGCUUCUAAGAAGCUUUCUUGAUGGAGGGGAGCGGCAGACGGGUGAGUAACGCGUGGGAAUCUACCUUUCACUACGGAACAACUCCGGGAAACUGGAGCUAAUACCGUAUACGCCCUUAUGGGGAAAGAUUUAUCGGUGAAAGAUGAGCCCGCGUUGGAUUAGCUAGUUGGUGGGGUAAAGGCCUACCAAGGCGACGAUCCAUAGCUGGUCUGAGAGGAUGAUCAGCCACAUUGGGACUGAGACACGGCCCAAACUCCUACGGGAGGCAGCAGUGGGGAAUAUUGGACAAUGGGCGCAAGCCUGAUCCAGCCAUGCCGCGUGAGUGAUGAAGGCCCUAGGGUUGUAAAGCUCUUUCACCGGAGAAGAUAAUGACGGUAUCCGGAGAAGAAGCCCCGGCUAACUUCGUGCCAGCAGCCGCGGUAAUACGAAGGGGGCUAGCGUUGUUCGGAAUUACUGGGCGUAAAGCGCACGUAGGCGGAUAUUUAAGUCAGGGGUGAAAUCCCAGAGCUCAACUCUGGAACUGCCUUUGAUACUGGGUAUCUUGAGUAUGGAAGAGGUAAGUGGAAUUCCGAGUGUAGAGGUGAAAUUCGUAGAUAUUCGGAGGAACACCAGUGGCGAAGGCGGCUUACUGGUCCAUUACUGACGCUGAGGUGCGAAAGCGUGGGGAGCAAACAGGAUUAGAUACCCUAGUAGUCC